ACAAAACCACAAGAGCCUUAAACUACCUCACCUAAUCUUUAACAAGUGAACCAUAUGCUCCAUUGCAUUCAUCACUUCCUCAUGAGGUGGCAGUUUGGAUGAGAACAAGUGCCCAGGAAGUCACCCUGUUUAUUCUCUCCCGGCCUCUUAAUGCCUGUGGAACUUUUUUUAUUGAAUUCUUUUCAUGGCCAUCAGCUUUGGUGUGGGAAAUGAUUCCAAGAGACAAAGACUCGGUUCCUCACAGGAAAUUCAGUCCCUGGCAAGCUUCAGCUCCAGACAGGAAACAUUCUGAGGAAUUUCUUCCAUACAGUUGUGUUUCCGUGUGGGACCACAGAAAAGGCUGGGGAGUCACAUCCCUUGCCAAGAGAAGGCCACAUGCUGGCUUUGCACACUUUGCCACUGGUUUGAAGCAGUGAGGAGCACUGGGCAGCUGUCCUAUCACAGGACACAACACAGCCCUCUCAUCUUUGCUGCAAAGGGCUUGCAACUGAAUCAAGCAAGCUAAUUUCCAGUGGAUGGGAGGGAGGGAGCCAGGCUUGAAAAUUGAUCACACCAGAAUUAAAUUACUGUUUUUCCAGUAUACUAUGUCCCAGUGGACAACUGUUUUAAAAGUUCUGGCAGAAUAACAUCUCCCACAACAGCACUG